rnacentral:rRNA from 1 species
GAACCAAACAUUUAGAUACUCGAGGAUACUUUGUUAAAAAUAACUCGACUGGAUGGAUUUUGGUGCCUGGCCGUUCUUAGUCGUUGGAGCGAUUUGCCUGGUUAAUUGCGAUAACGAACGAGACUCUAGCCUAUUGAAUAGGUGCGUGGCUCUCUUCGCCUUCCAUUCUUCUUAUAAGCACAAGCGGCUCCUAGCCGCACGAAACACAUCAAUAACAGGUCUGUGGUGCCCUUAGAUGUCC